rnacentral:tRNA from 1 species
AAGGGUAUAGCUCAAAUGGCAGAGCGCAUGCUCAGCACCCAAGAGGUCAGGGGUUCAAUCCCCAUUACCUUCU